CAAGAAUGUGGUGGUGCUUGAGUCCGUCGUCAGUGUCAAUGUUCAAAGUCAAACAUUGGGUCGUGCACUGCCUCCGAUUUAGAAUACAAUAAAGAUAAGCAGGCCAGCCACGAAGUCUACGAUGGUGGCUGUGAGCGUGGCUUGUGAAGUGAGCAGGUUUGCAUCAACAAGAGAAAUAAGAUGAACCAGGUCAGUAAUCUUAAAUAGGGUGACAGUGGACAAAAAGCAAUCGAUCAUCUCACCUUGAAGGCUUCACCCAGCUUGGUGAAGAUUGGUAGCAGCUGCCUACGCAGCACUACUGCGCCACCAACGCGAACCGAUCCUAUUAUGAUCUAAAUACAGUCGUCGACCCUGUACCUUCUUUAACCAAACAAAAUCUAGUUGAUGGCUCUGCACCUUCUUUCGUUGUUGCAUGUUGUACCUCAUCCUCUUCCUCGCAUCCUGCAGCGGCGAGAUCCGGCACUAACGGAUCCAACGCUAGGAGCCGGUGUUGGCCAGAUCCCGACGACGGCGAGCCGAGGCUGCCUGAUAGGCCUACGGGCGCCAGGAGGGAAGACGCCCCCUGUUGCCUGUAGAAGAUGAGGCGAGCUUUGAGGGUUGGGGCAUUCAAGUCCCCGUCGAUGGCCGCCGAGAGCCAUCGAUGUCCUCCUCUUGUAUCCGGCUGGGGCUCCUCUCUUCCUAACAAUAAAACGAGCCUGCAAGAUGCUCAAGGACCAGGACAACAUGUAGUUUCAAAAUUACAGAUUGUGGUCAGCUAUAGGAUGUUUAUGGGACCAUGUUUUAGCUACAAGAGAUCAACAACAUCACAUCAUGAGAGAGAGGAUGCAGCAUCAACAAUUCAGGAGAAAGAUCAGAGCAGAGCAGAAGUAAAUAUGUUUUGAGGAGAUGAACUGACCAGGAUUUAAAUGAACUCUCACUAGGAGGAGCUCAAGUUGGACUGAAACUCACUCGAUAACUGAAACUCCUAGGGCGAGGGGUGGGAUCCAGAGUGCUGCUGGCAAUGAACGGCUUGGGGUGGUGGCGUUGAACGGCUUGGGGUGGUGGCUGUGAAUGGCCAGGGUGCUCCGGCGGCAGAGCCCCACCGGGUGAUGGCGAUGCAAGCAGGAGGUCGGGAAGCUGUGGUGCUGGUGGUCGGGGUCGUCCAAUGGUCAUGGCACAACUGUACAGGAAGUUGGUUUCUCACCCAUCCACAGUUUUUUCCUUUUUGGAAUCCAUUGAACUGAAAAAAGCUACAAUGUGAGUUGAAAGUAUGAAAAUAAAAUAUCUCCGAAAGAAUAAAAAACUAGCUUUAACAUAUCUAUGAAAGAAUACACCUCUGAGGAACUAGCUUUGAACAAAUCUCUGAAAGAAUAGAGAGCAUGCAAAGUUCAAGGAAAGAAUAAGCAAAAUGGCACACUAGUACGUAGUAGUACGAGUCCAGUCUUGUACGUGCUAGUAUUAGAUUUGAAUAGUAGCUAGAAUUGAAGUUCAGGUAACCAUGGCACACACAUCAUACAGUUUCAGUCAUGUACGCACACACUGUAAUAGCAGCUGCAAUUAAAGUUCAAAUAACCACGGCACCCAUAAUAGAACAAGAAUCCGGCUAGCAGCUAGGCAAGCAAGGAAAUGUGCUUGCCUAGGCAGGUGGCCAUCAGCACGCGUAAGUCAAGGCCGUCAGUUCAAGAAUUGUGUGGCCAGCAGGAAAUGUGCUUGAAUCUUGGCUGAACUUUGUACAGGCAUCUAA